UAUAUUCUUUAUGAACAGUAACUUUGAAUUUGUUAUUUAGAAGAAUAGCAACUCCCCUGCUGUGUCCAGUGAACGAGCAAAAAUAGGCUUGAUAUCCCCAUUCAUUUCUCCAUUUAUUUUCUCUUUCUUUCGUACAAUGUGUAUCACAUAAAAUAGUUAUAUCAUAUUUUUUAUUACAUCUAUCAAAAAUAUCUCUGCGUUUUACUUCUUCUGACAGUCCCCUGCAAUUCAGAGCCCCUAUAGUAACUGCCAUAGUACUAGAAUAUUAACCUAAGUUGUAUAUAUGCAUAAAGACAUGUAUAUGUAGUAAAAUAAAUCAAUUGCUUUAAUAAAUAAUAAUUGUCAAUAAAAGAUAUGAAGACAAAUUUAAUCAAUAUAUCAAAUUCACAGGCAUAUUCAAGUUGUGCCGCAUGAAAGCAAAUAGUUUUUUUAUCCCUAUUCCCUGACACUGACAAGUUCAACCUAAACACAACAAAUCUUAUGCAUACAAAAAUGUAAUAAGUGAAAAAAAAUAUUUUUGAAAUAAAUAAACCCCCCAAGUUGAACCCCACAAAGGUGAUUCCCUGUACUGCCAUUCAAUAUUAAGGAAAACAAAGUCAUACUAUGCUCUCCGGUUCUUUUCUUUUUAGCUUGAGAAUUUUGAAAACUACAGUUUAUGUAAUUUUGUUUCAUCUGAUAGAAUGAAAAAUAAGGGGAAAAUGAUUGAACAAACUAAUAGAACACACCCUCGGCAUGGAAUUGGAAGUAAAUGCGUUCCCGGAUUACCUUUAUCCUUCAUUGUAAAGA
rnacentral:lncRNA from 1 species